rnacentral:lncRNA from 1 species
GGUAAUGAUCAUUUCAGCAGUUAAACUGAAUCUGUAGCACCUGUGCAUCUUCUUGGGCAAAGCAGAAGUGGCUUCAGUUGUCAGGAAUUGAAUGUAUUUGACUUUCCUCCUCCUGAAGAAUGUGUAGGUUUGGAUGGCAUUCUUAAAAAGUUUCUUGCUGCUUUUGAAAAAAGAAAUAUAGAUGAGAGAGAAAGAAAGAAGGAAGAAAAAUGUGAAGACUGA